UUUUUAUUUUAUUUUUUUUAUCAAUUACUCCUACAUUGAUUCAUUAUUAACCAUGGAGCAGGGAUUGAGAUUCCAUGUGCUUCACAGCAUUAGAAUUUAGAAGACAUAAAGAAAGAAAAAAGAAAAAAGAAAAAAGAAAAAAUAGUAAAAAAAAGGUGGAGGUUGGUCGAAGGCAGAAACUUGAUGAGUCGACACAUUGUCUGUGUGGAAUGAGUGAGAGAGAAUGAAGAAAGCCUUAGCCUCACUCAUCUUCCUUGUGACUUCCUUCGGAUCCAAGUGACUCCAUGAGAAGAAGAUCCCACACGCCACGCAAUGCAAGACUCCGAUCAGCGCCACCACCACACCGAAACGACGCCGUCGCCUAAGCGAAACGCGCGACCCAAGCGCCCCGUCUUCAAGGUCCUCCCGGGGCAGAUCGCCUUCCGCCUCGUCUGCCCCGCCUCCAUCGUCGGCGGCCUCAUCGGGAGCUCCGGCUCCAUCGUCUCGCAGCUCCGCCGAGAGACCGGCUGCAAAAUCCACUGCGAGGACUCCGUCGCCGCCACCGAGGACCGCGUCAUCCUCGUCAUCGGAUCGCUCUCGCCGCGCAAGGGCCUCCAACUCGGCGACGGCGAAGUUGACGUCUCCAACGCGCAGGAAGCCGUCGUUAGGGUUUUCGAGAGGGUUUGGGAGCUCGAGGCCGAGAAAGGCGUUAACUCUAACAGACCCGUUAACGGCGAGGUUUUUUCCAAGUUGCUCGCGCACACUUCGCAGAUUGGCGCUGUUGUUGGCAAAGGAGGGAAGAACAUAACCGCUAUUAGGAACAGCAGCGGUGCCAAAAUUAGGGUUUGCCCUCCUCCGCAUUGCGCUACUAAAGACGAGGAGUUAGUUCAAAUAACUGGUGAAGUUUUGGCUGUGAAGAAAGCGCUGAUUGCUGUAUCUCAUUGUCUUCAAGAUUGUCCGCCAUUAUGCAAAGUUCCAGUUUCUUCUAGUACACCAACUGUUAGUUCUUCUGAUUGGUCGUCCUCUGAUCCCAAUGCUGAACUUUUUCCUCACCUUAACUCAUUGUUAACCUCCAUGGAAGGUUUAUCUAUGUAUGAACGGACCACAAACUCUAAUGAAACCUCUGCCCAUGACUCCAAAGGUGCAGAACAUGAAGUUGUGUUCAGACUCCUUUGCUCCAAUAAUGUAGCUGGGAGCGUGAUUGGCAAAAGAGGGGCUAUAGUCAGAGCUCUGGAAAGCAAAACAGGUGCUUCUAUUAUCUUUGCAGCUCCUUUAAGCGAGUUUGCUGAGCGCAUUGUCACCAUUUCUGCUGUAGAGAACCUUGAAUCUUGUUAUUCUCCUGCACAAGAUGCUGUUAUUCAUGUCUUUGCUAGAAUUAUUGAAGAUCACAUAGGAAAGGGUUUUCUCCCAGUCUCUAGUAUGGAAUCACCUGUAACUGCAAGACUUUUAGUUGCAACAAGCACAGUAAAUUGCUUGAGUGGCAAUGAAGGUCAGGGGAUUUCAGAAUUGAGGGAAGUAACAGGAGCUGAUAUACAAAUUUUGCAUGGAGAGCCCGUUCCUAAUGGUGCCUCAGAUGAUGAUGUGGUGGUGCAGAUCACUGGAGGGUACAGAUGUGUACAGAAUGCCCUAUAUAAAGUUACUUGUAGAAUCAGGGAUAAUCAUUUGCCCAAUGAAGCGGUUGCUGAAGCAAGACCGAAAUCCAAUUGGAAAGUGAAUAAGGAUCCUGUAAAGGGUAAACCUUUUGCCCGUGGAAAAUCUGCUUUUCCUUCUGGGAGGUUUUUGCCACGGAAUGCAGGGGUGAAUGCUGAAACAAUAUCACAAAAUGGAGAAUUACAUACGGAUUUAAGUGAGAAUUUGGAACGUGGGAGGGGAAACAUGUUUGCUACAGUUACAAAUACUACUGUGGAGAUUGUAGUUUCUGAACAUGUCUUUGGUUCUGUUUAUGGUGAAGACGGUGGCAAUUUGGAUCGAAUCAGACAGAUUUCAGGUGCAAGUGUUACGGUUUAUGAUCCCUCCGCUGGUUCAAGUGGAGGAAAAGUUGUCAUAUCUGGGACACCUGAUCAAACCUUUGCAGCACAGAGCUUGCUACAAGCCUUUAUUCAAACUGGACACGUAAGCUGACAGAAAGCUGCAUUUCAUCAUCAGUUGGUGCCAUGAAUGGUGUACAUAGAUAUGUCACACGACAACCCUCACCUUGUGAAUAUGGAUUCACUAUUUUCCUUUAUGAUGCUUACCACUUAAUCUUAUAGACUAUAAAGAUUUUGUUCUCUUUCCCUCCCUCUCCCGUAUUCGGUCUCUUUUUUUAAUGUUAAUUAUAGUACCAUUUUGAUCCAUGACCCAUAUAAUAUUCAUCCUUAUCCGUUU